rnacentral:rRNA from 1 species
CCUACGGGAUGCAGCAGUGAGGAAUAUUGGUCAAUGGGCGCGAGCCUGAACCAGCCAAGUAGCGUGCAGGAUGACUGCCCUACGGGUUGUAAACUUCUUUUAUACGGGAAUAAAGUGAGGCACGUGUGCCUUAUUGCAUGUACCUCAUGAAUAAGGAUCGGCUAAGUCCGUGCCAGCAGCCGCGGUAAUACGGAGGGUCCGGGCGUUAUCCGGAUUUAUUGGGUUUAAAGGGAGCGCAGGUGGGUUGUUAAGUCAGUUGUGAAAGGCUGCGGCUCAACCGUGGAACUGCAGUUGAUACUGGGAGGCUUGAGUACAGUUGAGGUAGGCGGAAUUCGUGGUGUAGCGGUGAAAUGCUUAGAUAUCACGAAGAACUCCGAUUGCGAAGGCAGCUUACUGAAGUGUCACUGACGCUGAGGCUCGAAGGUGCGGGUAUCGAACAGGAUUAGAUACCCGUGUAGUC